UACGUAGGUGGCGAGCGUUGUCCGGAUUUACUGGGCGUAAAGGGCGUGCAGGCGGUUUGCUAAGUCUAGGGUGAAAGCUCCCGGCUCAACUGGGAGAGGUCCUUGGAUACUGACAGACUUGAGGGAGGCAGAGGAGAAUGGAAUUCCCGGUGUAGUGGUGAUAUGCGUAGAUAUCGGGAGGAACACCAGUGGCGAAGGCGGUUCUCUGGGCCUUACCUGACGCUGAGACGCGAAAGCGUGGGGAGCGAACAGG
rnacentral:rRNA from 1 species